UACGGAGGGUGCAAGCGUUAAUCGGAAUUACUGGGCGUAAAGCGUGCGUAGGUGGUUCGUUAAGUCCGUUGUGAAAGCCCCCGAGCUCAACUUGGGAAUUGCAGUGGAUACUGGCGAGCUAGAGUGCGGUAGAGGAAGGUGGAAUUCCCGGUGUAGCGGUGAAAUGCGUAGAGAUCGGGAGGAACACCAGUGGCGAAGGCGGCCUUCUGGACCAGCACUGACACUCAAGCACGAAAGCGUGGGGAGCAAACAGG
rnacentral:rRNA from 1 species